GAGGGAGAUUGGAUUGGAGCUGAGCUUUGAAAGAUGAAUGAAAUCAUUUGGAGGAUUCAUCCACAAAAAACAGAGACUGGCCAACCCUGGUUUGCAGGGGUCUCACUCUGCCACCCAGGCUGGAGUGCAGUGGUGCAAUCACAGCUCGUUGCAGCUUUGACCUCCCAGGCUCAAGGGAUCCUCCUGCCUCAGCCUCCUGAGUCACUGGGACCACAGAAACAGCAUCUCACUGUGUUGCCCAGUCUGUUUCCAACUCCUGGCCUCAAGCAAUCCUCUCACGUCAGCUUCCCAAAUUGCUAGGAUUACAGAUUGGUCUGGAACUGAACAUGCACAGUCUCCGAGACGUGUCAGAGAUCAACUCGACCUGUUAGAAUGAAGACAGGUGUGUUGUUGACCCUGAGCUGAAAUGCCUCCUUCCCACUUUUAGGGCCAGAGGAUGUGGACUGUCAGAUCUUCAAGGAGGCAUCUCAACAGACUCGUAGGACUGGCUUCAGGGCCCUGACUUUUUCACAGAAAACCUAUGAAGAUGCAGAUUAAUCUUCCCUAUGGCUCUCACAGCUCUGCCAUGCUAAGACUUUGACCCUGGACCUGCUGUUCGGCCCCAUCUGCCCCAUGGCUGCAGGAGACAAAUGUCUCCUUAAACGCUGCCGUUGAGGUCUUUUUACUUUCAUAGUGUACCAGUGGGCCUGAGUUUGCUAUUUUUUAAAAGGAUUCCAAUGCAGUUAAAAGCAGUCAGCUUCCUCUACAAUUCUUACGGUUUUAAUCUCCAUCAGGGAGAUGCUAUUUUCACCCCUGACGACAAAUGAGGAAACUGAGCUACAGAGAGUUUGAGAAUUUCCUCCACAUUCCACAGCUACUCAAUGGCAGAGCUGGGAUUUGAACCCAGGAAGUUCAGCAUCAGGGUCCAUAUUCUGUCCUCCCCUUCAAAAGGAGCCACCUAUUAUGUCACCCAUUAAAAUAGUUUUAUUUUAUUUUGUUUCCGUUGUUGCUAGCCCUGAGUCUUCAGCGAAUGAGGGUCAUCAUCAUCUUCUAAUGGAAGAGGUAGGAGAGGGAGAGACAGAGACGGGAGUAGUUUCAAAACAUGGGUCUUGCGUAGAAAAUAAGGGGGCAAUACUACAAUGCAGCUGGCCCCACUGAGCAAGCCUGUGUCAUGAAAGCACACAGGAAACUGGGUUGAAUGUAAAAGGAUCAAUACCUCCACCUGUCUUCACUUGAACACUAGGUCCCACAGCUAGCGGUGGAUAGAUGCAUUUCAUCACCUGAUAGAUGCAUUUCAAAGAUUUUUCUUUGUUUUAUGUCUUUUAAAAGUCACAGGCUAAGAUCCCUCUCACAUGUGAGAAAAAUGCAAGCUGCUAUGGAUUGAAUUGUGUCUCCUCAAGAAUUAUAUGUUAAUCUAUCUCAGAUUGUAACCCUGUUUGGAGGCGGGAUCAUAACAGAGGUCAUAACAGAGGUAAUCGAGUUAAAAUGAGGUCAUCAGAGUGAACCCUAAUCUAACAUGAUAGAUGUCCACAUCAGAAAGGGAAAUUUGUACACACAGACACGCACACAGGGAGUACACCAUGUGAAGAUGAAGGCAGAGAUUGAGUGAUACAUCUUCAAGCUAGGGAACACUGAAGACUGCCAGUAAACCACAAGGAACAAGGGGUGCGGCGUGGAGCAGAUUCUCCCUCACAGACCUCAGGAGGAACCAGCUCUGCUGACACCUUGAUCUGAGACUUCUAGCCUCCA
rnacentral:lncRNA from 1 species